AAGAGAAGAGGAAGAGAGAGAUACGAGCUUAGAAAGAGAAAAAAGACUCUUUUACUCUUUACACUCUUUUACGAGGCAUACUGUUUUAAACUGGACUAAAGCCAUGGAAUAUGGCACUUUCACUCUUGAGAAGAAGGGUCAUUCAAGACGUAGCCUCGACAACAUCCCCUGUGUUCGUCACUUGAUUUAGUCAACUCCUUGGCUGAGCACUCGACAAGUUGCAGAAGACCUUUAUCCGUUACAAAAAACCGUCCAUCGUAUCCUGCCAGACGAUUUAGGGUACAAAUAGCUCUUGGUUAUCUGGAUAACCUACAAAUUGUUGGAUAAGAUUAAGGCAGAAAAAGGGAUAAACAGGAUUUCUUGACCAGAAAAGGCACUUGAAAGAUUGAACAUCUGCUUUAUAACAACCCUGAAAAGACUCUAUCUGGUGUGUAUCGACACUAAAGAAAGUUGGAGAAGAGAAGCUCUUGGAUCAACUUAAAGUUACGAUCCACAACGUAAUAGCAUCCUAGGGUGACUAUUUCCCUUCUAGCAGCACAUGUGCAUGGACGAGUCUCUGAAUUUUAAUCCCUACCUCAAAUCACGGGAUUAUUUUUUUUUGCGAGAUGGGAUCAAAAACAAUGCGGAAUAUCAUUUGGUGUGUGGUGGUUGUCCCAUCAAAAGUUUC
rnacentral:lncRNA from 1 species